rnacentral:lncRNA from 1 species
CCAAUCAAAACAGGUCUAGCUCACGUGCCUUUUUGCGCUCGUUCAUGUUGUUGAUCGGAGUUUUGAAAAUUCGUGGAAGUAUUUAAAAAGCGCCCUGUACAGAUUAUAUGUCAAAUCAUGGCUUCUCCACCUGUUUCCAUGUUGUCUGCUGUUGGAAGAACAUCUAUGAGGGACUGUGAAUAGAAUCUUUAUCUUCUGCUUAUAUGCAACACUUACUCAUGGGCCUGUGGCACAAUUUCUAGCUGUACAAGGAUAUCAUGGUGUUUGAUAAGUUGAUGACAAUGAAACUAAUGACCAUGUUAACAUCAGAGGAAAAGCAAACUGGGAGAAGAAAGGACAACAUUGUUUUCGAUCUUGAAGGCCUGCGUAGACAUAGGACCAGGAAGGGGAGCUAGGAGUGGGAGAAGUGCCUGUGACUGAUAUAUGCACUAUCAGAUAGAAAUCCAGUUCAAAAGGAAAUCUGAAAUAGUGAAAUAG